AGUUUGAUCAUGGCUCAGAUUGAACGCUGGCGGAAUGCUUUACACAUGCAAGUCGAACGGUAGAGGGGGCAACCCUUGAGAGUGGCGAACGGGUGAGUAAUAUAUCGGAACGUGCCCAGUCGUGGGGGAUAACGUAGCGAAAGUUACGCUAAUACCGCAUACGAUCUAAGGAUGAAAGCGGGGGAUCGCAAGACCUCGCGCGAUUGGAGCGGCCGAUAUCAGAUUAGGUAGUUGGUGAGGUAAAGGCUCACCAAGCCGACGAUCUGUAGCUGGUCUGAGAGGACGACCAGCCACACUGGGACUGAGACACGGCCCAGACUCCUACGGGAGGCAGCAGUGGGGAAUUUUGGACAAUGGACGCAAGUCUGAUCCAGCCAUUCCGCGUGCAGGAUGAAGGCCCUCGGGUUGUAAACUGCUUUUGUACGGAACGAAAAGGUUUGUCUUAAUACGAUGAGCUCAUGACGGUACCGUAAGAAUAAGCACCGGCUAACUACGUG
rnacentral:rRNA from 1 species